GAGGUACUCCCUCCGUCCGAAAAUACUUGUCAUCAAAAUGACAAAAAUGAUGUAUCUAAAACUAAAAUACAUCUAGAUACAUCCAUUUUUAUUCAUUUUGAUGACAAGUAUUUCCGGACGGAGGGAGUACAAU
rfam:Triticum aestivum genome assembly, contig: Triticum_aestivum_CS42_TGACv1_scaffold_579095_7BL